UUAAAAUAGAAAAUUUCCAUAGAUUCUUUUAAAAAAGCUCAGAUAUCAGAGUAUUCUCUUUAAUGAAUUUAAAUAACUUUAAAUUGCUGAUAGUGUUAGUAAAAAAAAAAAAGAUUGCUAACAAAGGAUUAAUAUUUUUAUUUAUUUUUUCUUUUUUUUUAAUAAUUUAAAUGAGGAUUUUGAAUAAAUAGCAUGAAACAAGCAUCACUUCUAACGUGAAUGUAAAUUGAAGUGCUUGCACGGGAAAUGAGCACUAUUCAAGAGACUAGUUUGCAUUACAGAAGUGCACUUCUCUUUACAACAGAUAAAUAGAAUGGCUGCCUGAGGUUCGUGAAUAAUCAAAGGACGUCUUAGAAGCAAGUUGUGUACGUAGAUGAUUCAGAAAUUGAAAUAGGAGUCUCGUUAGAGCCGUUGUUAAAGUAAUUUUGGAUGGAAUGGGUAAGUGAAUCGUCGACUUGAUUGCAGCAAUUGAAAAUGUGUGUAUCUACUUGAAAUCUCUUAUUUGUUUGGUAAAAAAAAAAUUUAUAAAUAUUAUGAGUAAAUAUUAUUGAAAUUUAUAAAAAGAAUAUCAAGUGUCAAUUAAACAAGAUUAGAUAUAAUCUUUCAUAUUGAUAUAAAAUCACAAUUUAUUUGUUAUCUUUUAUGUUAUAAAAAAUUUCAUGAUAAAAUUGAGAUCUUUUGCUCUAGAAUUUAUAUUAAAAAAAGAAAGAUAACACAAAACGGAUAUAAUCUGGGACUUUUGCAUCAUACAUUUAACCAUGUUCAUAUAAGGAUUAUUUUAUGUUCUUACCCGCAUCUUUCGUUAAUUUAUUAAACGACAAACACAUUAAUAACGAUGCAAAAACAAAAUCCAGACAUUUACCAAGGGAUGAUUCGUUUACUAAGGAUAGAAUAUAGUAUAUUGCGUUUCCUUGAGUGUGAUCAUUUUGUUGAAUCGAUGUAAAUCUUAGCUCUUUCUACAAAGUGGAUUAUUAAUUCGUCUCAUAGGCGUUCAAUUAGCCCGCGGGUCCGGCGUGAAAUGAAUUAUUCGUCGACGCAUGCGCGUUCUCGGCAUGUUUUACCGCGCAACGGAAAUUUACUGCUGUCGCCUCGUAUAAAUAGUAGACAUGGCCACCAUGAAAUUUACGAACGACCAACAGAUUGUCUCGUAAAAUUUCUACGUCGCUGUCUCUUCUUUUCGUUUUGGAAAUUGUUCAUUUUCAUAGUGAAACAAUAAGACCCGGAAGUGAAGAACUCGUAUCCUCGUGAUGGAAAUCUGUGCGGAGAAUUUUGUGGUUAUGGUGGUUAGAUGCACUUUUCGUGAUUGAGGAUUAAUGUGGGUUCUUUUAGAAAAUUAUGCAAUUUUCUUCUUUUCUCCGCAAAUUAUAAUUUACUAUGAAGAUAUUUUCUAAUUUUUUUUGCGUGAGACGAAGUGAUUUUUUUCAUAUCAAUAACAUGUUAGUCACAAGAUCUCUCCACGUUAUCUUCCCUUUUGCACGAGCGUGUUUUCCAUUAAAACGAAUCGACUCUCGCGACUAUCCCUGCAAUCUUUCAACAGCGUUUCAUCUUCUCCUGCGUGUGGACCGAUCUUUCGAAGACAUUCCAUGCUCAUGGUGGACCCGGGCUGCAAACGCGUUCCUAUGAAUUAUUGCACCAUUAACGGAGAGAUGGAAUCGAGAGAUAAAUUUCUUGCCUUCUAAAAGAAAGAGAUUGCAAAUUUUUACCUUUUGAAGAUGUGAUCAUUUAACGGUGAUAGAAGAAAUACUUAUGAAACGCUGUGUGAUAUAUAAAAAUCCAAGUUCAGGAUUACACGUAUGACAAUGCAUGUAUGAAGAAAGUUGAACUGUAAAAUAUUAAACAAAAAUAUAACAUUGGAAACUAAAUCAAAUGAUAUAUAGCGACAUAAAAUUCCUGCAUCCCAUAAAUCUUCGACAUGUUGCGAAAAUCAGCAGAAAGUUGAGUUGUCUUCUUUAAUUUCAAUAACAAGAUUUGGAAAAAGAAGAGAACAGGAAAAAAACAAAAGCCAGUUUUGCGGAGUAAUUAGGAACCUACGAGCAAUAGUGCUAAUCAAGCGAAAGGGCAGAGAAAGAAAUAAGUCUGAGGAGAUGGAAGCUGAAGAAGGGUCCGGUUUAAGUGACAGAAAGGCUGGUCCGAAGUGGCACGAAGGUACACGCGAGGUGGUAGCCUCGGGUGACAAGUUAAAAAGGGAGGGACGAGGUGGCGGCGCGAGCCAGCCUUCUCUUCUCUCGGAUCAUGCUAAUGAAAUUCUCAAGAUAUCUAUCUUGCGCGCCACUGUGCACAAGGCAUUAGUUUAGCGUCUCGCUCGCGGCCACCUCGAUCUUAUCUGUCCGCCUUCAGACGCACGGUAUCAAUUUCCCUGGAACGUGAAACAUACGGGCCAUGGUAGUUCGUCAACCGAUUCCGGUUGUUUAACGAUCCUUGCCUAUCUGUGUACUGCUGUUCACAGUUUGGAUUCUGUGGAAAUUAAGAGGAAAGAAGAGAUGACUUUAUACAGAAUGAUGUUUUCUUAAGGAUUGGAUUGACAUUGGAGGAGAGGGAAUUGAUUUGAAGUGGAAAGGAGAGAGAUGGAUUGUUUAAAUAAGAAAAUAGAAAGUUGGAAAUAGGUGAGAAUGACGCUAAAAAUUAUGAUUAAAAAGAAAUAAAAAAAUAGAAGAGUGGAAAGAAUUGAGAGAACAAUUUUCCCAAGUUAUUUGUAAUCAUUCUUAUUUAAAGAUUGCAAUUAGACGGUUUUAGAAUUAUCAGUAUUCAAUAUUUACAAUUCGCGCAAUUUUAUUGCCAUUUAAUAAAUUAAAUAGUAUAAAGAUCGAUAGUAAGUAUUUCUAAUCCUUGCUUUUGGCCUGAGAUUACAAGAAGCCACAUUAAUCGUCUUCUUGUACGAAAAGAAUUGCCUUGCUCAUUCAUCACCAUAUAUCCUCCAGUCGAUGAUCUUUGAAUCAACGUGCCGCGGUAUUCCCACAAUAACGAAGCUGAAGAUGCAGAAAAUGGAAUCGGCGAGUCACGGCGUAAAGAUGAAUAUGAAGACGUUGCCACUAACUUAUGCACUUCCCAUGCCAUUGAGAUCCUUUGAUGCCGCCGAAUCGUUCAAGGAAUAUGACAUUAAGGUCAGCGACUCGCUCACCGGUGCUGGGGCCAAAUUGCAACUUGCUGCAACCCUGGUGUCUUCCAUCCCGCUCGUGAACAAAGAAGACCGCUCGAAGAGGAAAAGAAAUAGGACGGAAUCGGAUGGAAGGAGCGUGAGAAUGAAGCCUCCCCACCGGCUCAAGCCCCCCCGAACCUAUGAUUGAUUUAAAGAUUGAACGUCACACAAUCCAAGAUCAAAAUAUAUAUGGAAAUUCUUCUUGCGGAAGAUCAUCCUUCAAGACGAUUGAACAUCACGCAAUCCAAGAUCAAAAUGUAUAUAUGGAAAGUUCUUCUUACGGAAGAUCAUCCUUCAACAUGCUUGGAGGGGGAGGGGACGAAGGAUGGGACUUUUUACGAGGGCCAUAUCGCAAAACCGAAACCGCCAGGGUUACUUAGGCAAAAAGCGACUCGAGGAGAGCGGCGUGAACCACUUUUCUCGUGGGAAUGAUAGGAAUACAAGGGACCCAUGGAACGAGCGCAGGCCGUUUAACCAAAAUUACGUUUUAUAUGCAGAAGCGGAUCAUUGCGCGCGAGACGGUCCAUGCGUAACGGCCGGUUGGUGCAACGGUGCAUUUCCUUUUACUACUGUGGCCAGACAACAUGCACCGUAAAACCCGAGGGGCCAGCUUUAACAACUACAACUGUAGAAAUCGUGGCGUGUUUGUUCCAGAGACAAUGCAUCCCUUCGAGUUCUAACGUCAACAUUACUCUUCUUUUAAACUUGAAGCGUCUAUUCUUAUUUCUUUUUUUUAAUAUUUUUAAAAGACACAUUUAAAGCAAUACUCGAAACUUGCGCGUAUUUCCCUUACCUUUUAUUCAGGCGCAGUUAGAAAGUUUAUGUAAAUUUUGGGAACCUGUAAUAGAUUUAAAAUCCAAUCCAAUAAUCGUUUCUCGAUUAUUUUACGAUUAUGAUUAUACGUACGUGAAGUGAAUGUAUCGAUAUAUUGAGUGGAUGUUUCGUUAGAAAUGAUCGUUUCCAAUAAGAGAGAAUAAAAAUGCUAAUGCAAUUUGAUUGAGAAAUAGGGAAUCGUGUUGAUUGGUGCUGGUGAAAGGGAAAUGUUUCAAAAUCUUGAAAAUCAAACGAUUCUCUGUCUUGUGAUUUACUAAAGAUGGAUCAAGGAAAGAUGAAUAUUUUAUUAAAAAAGAGAAGAAAGAGAGAAAAGGAAGGAAGGAAGAAAAUAAUAAUCCUCCGCUUCGAAUUUUACGAGCUCGGAUAUUUGUCCAAUGUUCGGCAGAGUUGCAAAAAAAAAAAAAAUAAAAAAAAAA
rnacentral:lncRNA from 1 species